rnacentral:rRNA from 1 species
AGCUUGCUCCCUGAUGUUAGCGGCGGACGGGUGAGUAACACGUGGGUAACCUGCCUGUAAGACUGGGAUAACUCCGGGAAACCGGGGCUAAUACCGGAUGCUUGUUUGAACCGCAUGGUUCAAACAUAAAAGGUGGCUUCGGCUACCACUUACAGAUGGACCCGCGGCGCAUUAGCUAGUUGGUGAGGUAAUGGCUCACCAAGGCAACGAUGCGUAGCCGACCUGAGAGGGUGAUCGGCCACACUGGGACUGAGACACGGCCCAGACUCCUACGGGAGGCAGCAGUAGGGAAUCUUCCGCAAUGGACGAAAGUCUGACGGAGCAACGCCGCGUGAGUGAUGAAGGUUUUCGGAUCGUAAAGCUCUGUUGUUAGGGAAGAACAAGUACCGUUCGAAUAGGGCGGUACCUUGACGGUACCUAACCAGAAAGCCACGGCUAACUACGUGCCAGCAGCCGCGGUAAUACGUAGGUGGCAAGCGUUGUCCGGAAUUAUUGGGCGUAAAGGGCUCGCAGGCGGUUUCUUAAGUCUGAUGUGAAAGCCCCCGGCUCAACCGGGGAGGGUCAUUGGAAACUGGGGAACUUGAGUGCAGAAGAGGAGAGUGGAAUUCCACGUGUAGCGGUGAAAUGCGUAGAGAUGUGGAGGAACACCAGUGGCGAAGGCGACUCUCUGGUCUGUAACUGACGCUGANGAGCGAAAGCGUGGGGAGCGAACAGGAUUAGAUACCCUGGUAGUCCACGCCGUAAACGAUGAGUGCUAAGUGUUAGGGGGUUUCCGCCCCUUAGUGCUGCAGCUAACGCAUUAAGCACUCCGCCUGGGGAGUACGGUCGCAAGACUGAAACUCAAAGGAAUUUGACGGGGGCCCGCACAAGCGGUGGAGCAUGUGGUUUUAAUUUCGAAGCAACGC